CCUCACUUCCUAAAUUUGUGCUCUAGAGUUCUGCUAUUCCACAUAGUGCAGCAUAGAGAUUUGAUACUGUCAGGAGUGUUUAGACCAGGAAUCAGCUAAAUGAUAUGUUAACAUACACAAAGGGAUAACUCUUGACAGCACAGGAGAGCUCUGGGAGACACCUACUGAAUGUAAUUUCAAUUGUAAGAAAAAUAAUACCAGCUAUGAAAGGUUUCAUGUUCAGACUAGAUUCCACUAUAUAACAGAAAUAACUUCUAUCAUAUAAUCAAACAGGAUGACUAAUUUUUCUUAAUCUUUAGGUCUUAAUUCUUCUUUUAUCCUUUUAUUUGGGAGUGUAUGUUAACAAUGCACCCUAAAGAAAAUAUGAGUUUUUCUGGCAAUUAAGAAAAUUGGAUCCAGAGCCAUAUGGGCUGACUUCUAAUCCUAACUUGCAGUUACUAGCUGUGUGGUUUACAAAUCAUCUAAACCCUGUGGCCCAGUUGCACCUAAUUGCACCUAAAAUGAAGAUAGUAACUACCUUUGGGGGUUGCUGUAAAGAUUAAAUAAAUUAAUUUACCACAGUGCUGGGUACAUAAUAAAUGACACUUUACUGAUAUAUUUUCACAUAAAUGAAAGUUUGGAAAAACGUUAAUUUCGAACCAAAAACAAUCUCAACAGUAUUGUGGUAAUUAUGCAUUUACUUAUUUGUAUCUACCCCUAGAGUGUUCUCUGUGACUUCUCCACAUACUUCACCAAUCCUUUAUACUCAGCACUCAACACCAUGUAAGACACAAAUACACACACAUACACUGCACUGCACUAUAAGGCCCUUAUUUACUGAAACCUUAAAGCCUUGCGAGGGGAGAGAAAAAAUUCUUGGAAUGUAUUUAUUCAAACAAAUGGCAACAAGUUCACGAACUAAGAAAAAAGGAUAUGAAUACAUUCCAUACUGGAGAUUGCUUACACAGUAAGCAGGGACUACAUAAUGCAAUAUGAAAAGUAUUAUUUUAAAAUUUUACAACGGCCAUUUACUUUAAGAUUACAAAAAUAAACCAAGAUCUUUUUACUCUUAGUGAAGAAUUGGGAGUAAGGGUUUAGACUGUCCGACCAGAAGCACGUCCGUUCUCUGGGAACUCGUGGCAAAUUCUUGUGGGCAUUUCUAGUUUACACCCUUUCUGUGAUAAGUACGGUAUUAAGUAUUUCUGGCCACCACAUUCUGGCUUGGUAGUAGUUCCCCUAAAAAUGGAAUGGCAAAUAAUCUUCUUCAUCCUUUUCUCACAGUGGCAACCAAAUUCCAGUCAAAAGCGCACACAAACUUGUUUAGGAAUGUAGCGCAAUGUUAAACGAAUGCAAGUCUGCAUUCGGCUUCCUCUGGCUCAGUCACUAGCUAUGUGACCUUACAGAAGUCUGGUUACCUACAAAUCUGGAAGAAAUGCACCAGUGCACAAACGGAGACCGGGGCAAAAUCGGACAUUCAACUUAUCUUGCUAAGAGCGCCAGAUUCC
rnacentral:lncRNA from 1 species